UAGCAGCAUCGGCUGAUAGACCUCUCUGUUCCUCGGUGCGGCACGACACAAACAGCAACAGGAGACAGGAAGAAAUGGAAUUUCUCCUUCGUGCAAGGAUGCCUUUGACAAAAGAAAAACGUAAUGGAAUCAUUCUCACGGCUGGAUCGGGAAGCUGGCGCAAGGUUGAGAUUUUAACGGGAAAGAUGGCGAGUGCAUCACACACACUCGCGUGACACUGCCGCUAAACUUAUUAACAAAUUUAAAAAGACUGGAAGCGUCAUGGACCGACCGAGAAGAAGACGACAUCCACGAACAUCCACUGACGAGCGAAGGCAUGGCCGGCGUGGUGCUGGCGCAGGUUUGAUUGAAGAACUGGGUCUAAGCAAUUGCUUUGACUCCAGUUCAUAGCACUUGGACUCGACUGGUUUGUUGAAAAGGUUAUGAAACGUCGAUUUAUGAAAUUAAAGGCUUUUUCAAAACUA